rnacentral:ncRNA from 2 species
CAUAGUUAGCCAGUCUCAGGUGUCCACCAAGGAUUGAAAAGGGAAUCCCGUGCAAAUCGGGAGCGGACCCGCCGCCGUGACGCUCUCAUGAACCGUCUUCAUUCAUGCCACUGGGAAGGCCCGGGAAGGCGAAGACGGGAGGAGCCAGCCGGAAGACCUGCCUGAGCCCGUUUCCACGG